rnacentral:tRNA from 1 species
GUCAGAGUAGUUCAGCCUGGUAGAACACAGCUCUCAUAAGGCUGUUAUCGGGGGUUCAAAUCCCCUCUCUGACA